AUGGGCAGCUGUUUUCCUUUUGCCUACUAGCUAACGCUGAGGAGGCGGGGCCGGGCUGGAGGCCCAAAGUGCGCCUGACCUGAUGUUUUGGCUCCUUAGUGCCAGGGCCUGGAAUGGCAGGGAGGGGAGUUUGGAGCUCUGCGGAGGCAGCCCAGAAGGUGGGGUGCCGGAAGCAGGCCCUCCUCUGGGACGCUGAGGAAACCGUAAAGAUUCUUUAUUUUAAAAAAACGAAAAAGAAAAACUAAGAAUGUAAAAUAGUGUAGCUACUUUGGGAAGAAAUUUGGCAGUUCCUCAGAAUAUUGGCCACGCCCAUACCCAAGGGAAAUUAAAACGAAUGACUACACAAAAACUUCUACAUAAAUGUUCUUUCCUAGCAGCAUUAUUCAUAAUAGUCAAAAAGUGGAAACAAUGUAGAUGUCUAUUACUGAAUGAAUGGAUAAACCAGUGUGGACUAUACAAAUAAAGAAAUACUGGCCCAGGGGCGGUGGGUCACGCCUGUAAUCCCAGCACUUUGGGAGGCCAAGGCGGGAGGAUUGCUUUAACCCAAGAGUUCGAGACCAGCCUGGGCAACAUAGCAAAACCUGUCUCUACCAAAAAAUACAAACAUUAGUCGGAUGUGGUAGCACAUGCCUGUAAUCCCAGUUACUGGGAAGACUGAAAUGAGAGAAUAACUUGGGCCUGGGAGGCAGAGGCUGCAAUGAGCGGAGAUUGUGCCACUGCACUCCAGCCUGGGCGAUACAACCAGACACAGACAAAAAAAAAAAGAAAAGAAGAAGAAGAAAGAAGGAAGAAGAAUGAAGAAAGAAGGAAGAAGAACAAAGGAGGAGAAGGAAGAAGGAGAAGGAGAAGAACAAGGAAGAAGAAAGAACAAGAAAGAAGGAAGAAAAAGAAAGAAGGAAGGAAGAGGAAGAAGAAAGAAGAAGGAAGAAGAAGACCCAUGUAGUGAGGCCCAAAUACGUGCUUGUAACCUUCCUGCCCAUGGCUUCCAGAGGACAAGAUCAUACCUUCUCUUCAUGGUCACCGCCUCCUCCCCCUAUGCUGUAAGGUCUCUGAGGUGAGGUGGAAGGUGUAGGCUGAUUACACCUGCCCAAUUUGCUGCCAUACAGUUGGGUCCCUGCCCACUCCCCAGUGUGCCUCCACCACGUCCUGCCCCUUCCCAGCCCUCCACUCAUUCAUGCUUUUCUCCCUUGUUCCUACUCCUAAAUCCACUCGUUGCCACUGACACGGUGCUAGGCAGCUCUUCCCAACCCCCUUUACUCUGCUACCCUUUAGGCAUGAGAAGAGCUACCUCUGCAGUUUCGCAGGUCACCGCCGGGCAGCUCAGUCCCCGGCCAAAGUGCUAAGGUGCACGGCAAGGCUGUUCUCCUGUUUCCACAGGUGCCACCGGGAGCUGGUUUGCUGUGAGGCAGGCUUGUGAUGGAAUUAGAUCUUUUCAGC
rnacentral:lncRNA from 1 species